UGUUCAUGUUUAGGAUGGCACUGUGUUUGGAUGAUCAGAACCGUUUCUGUAGCAACACACAGCACCUGCUGGGGAAGGAAGCCACUAAAAGGAGACACCUUCGCAGCAUGGGCUAUGUGGUGGUGCAGAUCCCUUACUUUGAAUUUGAGAAGCUGAUAACUGAGGAGCAACAGGUCCAAUAUCUUCACAACAAGAUCUUUCCCACCAUCUUCAAGUUCAAUCACUGAUCUUAGUCGCCCAACCAAAUAUUCUUCUGUGAGCUUUAUUGGUUGAUCCGGUUAUGUUGCUGUACAAAUCAAGCAAUAGUCCGAUGAGCUGCAUGGACAUUCAGCUGAGUGAUGCACACUAUACACUAUAUGAAGAAGAUACAAGGCGUGGCAGAAAAUGUAAAUACUUUUUGUCUGUGAUAUUCAGAUUCAGCACAUAUCCUACAUAUCACAUAUCCUAGGAUAAGGAUACUUAUGUCCGGAAAUAAGGCAGAAUAAAACAUUCAGCAGGCACAUAAGUGCCAAGUAACAUAGGCAUAAUUUAACUGAAGUUACUGUAAAAUAAAUAAAAAUAAUAUUUUUGUUUGUUCCCAUGUUCCCUUUGUUUGUUUUUUGUCAUUUUAUGAAGCAACCUGCCUUGUUUUGAGCAUGGAAGGUA